rnacentral:lncRNA from 1 species
CGAGUAAUAAUUAUAAAUUGUAAUGAAUUAAGGGGUGGGGUUAUUAGACGCAAUGAUAAAUGUUGAUUUUGAUAGUUUGUCGUUAAUUAAUGAAUCGAUGAUGUCACUUUGCUUCUGUCACUAGUAAACUUUCAAAAAGGACACACUUUAAGUCCUCACGUUUUAUUUACUGUACUUUCUUUUGUAGUCACUUGGAUAUUCCUCUUUCACUUGUAUUGCUAGACUCUACUCAAAUCAACCUAGGUAUGUAAAAGGUGUCAUGUGCUCUAAUAAGCUUAUAGUUAUACAAUAUGGUUUAAAUCUUUUAUGCAUGUAUUCUUGCUUUCCACUAUAUUAGAUUUAUCCAAGCCAUUAUACCAUCACUCAUAUUUCAGAAUUCAAAGACUGGUCUGUCCACUGUCAAGUGUCCAAAGCAUAGAAAGGCUGUCAUAAGGAAUAUAGAUUCAGUACUUAUGUUUUUUUAAACGAUAUAAAUGUUUUAUUAGAUGGGGAUAAUAUUUUUCAAAUAAAUUAUAUUUUCUUAAACUAUAAAAAUUCGAAAAUAUUCGAUCGUCACGUUAUGAAGUUUCCGUUCCGAUGCAUCUUAAUCAUUCAACAUUUACAACAUUUUGUAAUAUAGAUUCUCUUCGGGAGAGAACCUGACUAAAGUGAGUAAUCGGUGAUUUUACUAGGAUCAACUAUCCCUUGUGUGAGGAUUCAGUUGAGUCAUCUUUUUGUUCCUGAGUUAGUUUUGUUUCUAUGGUAUGUGAUCUGUAGUAGUUGGGUUGCCAAAUUAUUCUUUUUAAAGAUCAUAGACUUCUAUUUUUUUUUUGUCUUUCUUCUCUUUUGGUGGUCAGACUAAGACUAGGGGUCGUUUUGUUAUGUACUAGCACGAUGUAGUUUGAUCUAUUUGGAGAGCUCAAAUGUCAUUUUGAUGAUGUUUCAAAAAUAGUGUGAGAGAUGGAGAAAAAAGUAUUUUUUGGCUAUGGAAAUGGUUUCAACAUAGAGGAGGUGUGAACUCACAUACUUUUUCUAAAUAGUUUUAGACCUUAUUCUCUACCCUUAACCAAUAGAGGAUUAAAUGUUUGCAUUCGUUCUGAGAUAGAUAUUGAUGUGUUUUGUUGCAGGGCAAAUAACAAGUACAAUAUUAUUGUAUUCACAUAAAGCAGUUGUGUUUUAAAGACUUAUUCAACAACUUUUAUGUUUCUAAACAAGAGAUAUCUAUAGUUGUUUGGUUCGAGUAUUUAAAAUGACGGAAAAUAAAUUGAGAUUCUGGUGUUAUCCGUGAGAAAACAUGUUGAAUUAGAUUUAUUCAUCCUUAUCCUUAUAUAUAACAAUUGGUCUAUAAUAUACUUUUCUAUUUAAGGUCUUUAUGUUUUUGUUGUAAGGUGGCUAUGCUAACAAAAAAAAUAUUGAUUUUUCUUUAGAUUCAAAAAUUUUAUAGAGAAGAGAGA